GAGAAGAAGGUUCUCUCCAGGGCCACUGUGUACAAUGGCACAGACCAGUGGUGCCCUCUGGAGUUGGACACCAUGGCCGACUCUCCCCAGCCUUCACCUGACCCCACCGUGGAAUCACGUGCAUUUGAGUUUCUGACUCAAAAGAAUGAAGGCAGCAAACCACUGGGGCUCCUGCCUACCCGCUGCCUCUCUUGUCCCACUAAGUCAGGCUGCUCUCUCUUCUGUCCUUCCCUGUGGUCUCUCGCCUGAGUCCAAAAGAGAGGGACUGACUCCGGGAAAGGCACAGCUUUGGAGAUGAGACCCUGGUGGUAGCAGAUCCUGGGGCAACAAGGACAAAUCAGCCAAACUGAACUAGGAGGACAAGCUGGGCCCAUUGCCUGUCCCAAGCAACCUGGUGUUGGGCUCUCACUCACCGGAACCUGGCUGAUAGACCUCCCGGAUGUCCAGCUCCAGCAGCUCAGCACUGACAGGCUGCAGCACUUGCUCCCGGGCUGCUCUCUUUCUCCGCUCCACCUCCUCGCGGCUGUCUCGCUCAAAAUGCAGCCGGUAUCUAACAGGACGGGACCAGCAGCCUCUCCGGAAGGGAAGACUGUGAUCCGCUCCGGUGACCCAGCGGCCCGUGAAGAACCGCAGCAUCCCAGUCCCACCAUCUCCUGUUUCAAGCCUCCAACAGCAGCAGCCUGCUUUCCCCCAACGCUCUAACUUCCGGGUAGGCGGGGAAGCCCGGGACAGAGCCCCCCGCCCACUCUCACCGAUUUG